rnacentral:lncRNA from 1 species
GGGCGGGCCGGGUGGGGCGGGCUCUGGACCGCAGGUUUUGGCGCUCCUUCGCACCGGGCUCUCUGCGGCCGAAGUUUCAGGCGUAUGCUAAUAACCCCCGGCGCGUGGCUGAGUGUGAGCGAGCGUGUGGGACGUCGGGAGGCGUCGUGGAUUAACUGAACCGCCACACUCGGCUGUCCCUUGUCUGGACCAAAACUGCUGACUGACCCUGGCGGUCACAUUUGCCCUCUGGGGUUUUUGAAAACCUUAAAUCAAAGUUACUUUUCUCCCUGGCAACUCCCAAGGCUACUUCCGCGGCCUCUGGGCUGUGAACUGAUAAGGACGUGAGUUUUCCCGACCAGGGGUGAGCAUACCAGUGACAAAUCAGCUCUCUAGAGGAAGGACCAGGGUAAGAAGCCCAUGAAGAAGCAGAUUGGUAUGCAUUUAAGCAAGGAAUUCUGGAGUCCCAGGGAUGGAAUGGGGACUAAGGAAUGAAUUGUCCCUGUCGUCAUGAAAUUUAAAGUCUGGAGAGAAAUUGGACAUUGAGCAGGCAAUCAUGUGCCAGGAAGAGAUCAUCUCUGUCGGAGGAGAGGGAGCCCAGAAGAGAAGAGUGCACCUGGCCGGCAGCAUGGAUGAAGGACAGCAGAAUGGGUGGAGGAGGUCCCACAGAAGUGAUGGUAUCACAGGUUAGAGGGGAAAAGAAAGAAAGGCGACCUGCAGUGUGGGCCAAGUUUGUGGCUGGCAACAUGCUGAGCACCUAACGUGCACUAUCUCAUCUCAUCCAAAUAAUGACUUUACAAGAUAGAUAUUAUGAUGGCUUCCAUUUUGUUGAAGCUGAGAGCUAAGUUCUUUUUUUAGGGUAAUGGAACUACUAAAUGAUAGAACAAGAAUUCCUACCUGGUUUCAUACAACUCUCAGUCUAACUCCUUAUCCCGUACCCUGGUACCAUUUGAAGAAAAAAAACUCUGUUGAUCCUCAAAACCAUGGUUAGUUUUCUUAUUAUGACUUGGUAACAAGCACACUAAAAUAAUACUAUUAGUUUUCAUCUUGGCCUAAUGUGUCUUUUAUUCUGUGAGGCCAUAUUCCCUUUUCCUAAAUCGUAUAUGGAUUGAAAAUCUGUUUUUUUUGUGUGUGGGUUUUUUUGAAUAAUUAGAUUGAACUCUAUGUUAAAUAUGAUGUUGGUAGUGGAAAUGUACACAUUUAGAGUGUAAUGUUCGGUGUGUCCCUUGUGCCCUAAUGAUUAGGGUGGAGAGAUGAAAUUUGAGGAUUUUAGAGAAAUUCUUGCAUAAAAUAUAUGAAAAUAAAACCCUGUUUUGUUUCA